rnacentral:rRNA from 1 species
CUCGCGUGUCGUGUCAGCAGCCGCGGUAAUACGUAGGUGGCAAGCGUUGUCCGGAAUUAUUGGGCGUAAAGCGCGCGCAGGCGGUCCUUUAAGUCUGAUGUGAAAGCCCACGGCUCAACCGUGGAGGGUCAUUGGAAACUGGGGGACUUGAGUGCAGGAGAGAAGAGUGGAAUUCCACGUGUAGCGGUGAAAUGCGUAGAGAUGUGGAGGAACACCAGUGGCGAAGGCGACUCUUUGGCCUGUAACUGACGCUGAGGCGCGAAAGCGUGGGGAGCAAACAGGAUUAGAUACCCUGGUAGUCCACGCCGUAAACGAUGAGUGCUAAGUGUUAGAGGGUUUCCGCCCUUUAGUGCUGCAGUAAACGCAUUAAGCACUCCGCCUGGGGAGUACGGCCGCAAGGCU